AUCCAGACUCCUACGGGAGGCAGCAGUGGGGAAUAUUGCACAAUGGGGGAAACCCUGAUGCAGCAACGCCGUGUGAGUGAAGAAGUAUUUCGGUAUGUAAAGCUCUAUCAGCAGGGAAGAAAAUGACGGUACCUGAGGAAUAAGCUCCGGCUAACUACGUGCCAGCAGCCGCGGUAAUACGUAGGGAGCGAGCGUUAUCCGGAAUUAUUGGGCGUAAAGGGUGCGUAGAUGGCAUAGUAAGUCUUUUGUAAAAAUGCUGGGCUCAACCCAGUAGGGCAAAAGAUACUGCAAAGCUAGAGUAUGACAGAGGCAAGUGGAACUACAUGUGUAGCGGUAAAAUGCGUAAAUAUAUGUAAGAACACCAGUGGCGAAGGCGGCUUGCUGGGUCGAUACUGACAUUG
rnacentral:rRNA from 1 species